AUACUUUUCUGACACGGGAGACCCCAGGAUCAUGAUGGUGGUUUACCCAGGGCGAGGCUGAGCCUUUGCCCUCCAAAUGUGCUGACCCCUGCAAUUUUCCCAAAUGUGGAAAACUCGAAUGCAUAAUUUGUGAUAGUGGGGGACUGCAUUCACACUCUUU
rnacentral:snRNA from 1 species